AUGUAGCUCAGCGGUAGGGCUUUUGCUUAAUAUGUAUGAGGCCCUGGGUUUGAUCCCCAGCGU
rnacentral:tRNA from 1 species